CUCUGCGGCUUAUCAGGUUGUAGUGAGGGUAACGUCCUCACUAGCCUAUGACGGGUACGGGCCCUGAGAGGGGAAGCCCGGAGAUGGACUCUGAGACACGAGUCCAGGCCCUACGGGGCGCAGCAGGCGCGAAAACUCCGCAAUGCUCGAAAGAGUGACGGGGGGAUUCCAAGUGCCUACGCUCAGCGUAGGCUGUUCAGAUGCCUAAAAAGCAUCUGGAGUAAGGGCUGGGUAAGACGGGUGCCAUCUGUGGCAGCAGCCGAAAAUUUGGCUUGCUACUGCAAGGCAUAAGCCGCCGCGGUAAUACCCGCAGCUCGAGUGGUAGUCGAUUUUAUUGGGCCUAAAGCGUCCGUAUCCGGUCUGGUAAAUGCUUGGGUAAAUCGUCUGGCUUAACCAGAUGAAUUCCGGGUAGACUACCAGACUUGGGACCGGUUGAGGAAGAGGGUACUUCAGGGGUAGGAGUGAAAUCCUGUAAUCCUUGAAGGACCACCAGCGGCGAAGGCGCUCUUCUAGGACGGGUCCGACGGUGAGGGACGAAAGCCAGGGGAGCAAACCGGAUUAGAUACCCGGGUAGUCCUGGCCGUAAACGAUGUGGGCUUGGCAUUGGGGGUUCUACGUGAGCGCCCAGUGUCGUAGCGAAGGCGUUAAGCCCA
rnacentral:rRNA from 1 species